AUGUACUCCAUAUUUAGCGCCGUGCCAACACUUGUUUCUAUUUUUUCUUAUUGGAAUUGUUUGGCCAAAAUUCAUAUUUUCUGCCAAUUAACUUACAAAACUUAUUUUACUUAUAGCAAAGUGCAUUUAAUAGAGGUCAUCAUGUAUAUGUACUACUUAUCUACAUACUUUUUGCUAUCUCAACUGAUAGCAGUACUGUUCUUGAAAAAAGAAAAAACAUGUAGUGGUAAUUUUUCUCUUUGGGAGUUAUUUGAGGCUGAGAAAAUUUUGAGAUUAUUUGGGCGCAAUGAGAGGGAGGGAGGGGCACACAAGCAUGUGGGGGUUGGCAUGAAGAGGGGAGACAACGGGAAUCUAACUUGA
rnacentral:rRNA from 1 species